CCCCGACGCCGCUCUCUGCUACAGCUGCUUCUCCGCAACCACCGCAGCAGCGGGAGCAGGUUGCAACCUCAAACCCCAGGCCGGGGCUGCCCUGGCGUGGGACUCUUCUGGCCGGGAACUUCUAGGUCGGCUGGCCCUCCGCGGCUCCUGCGAGCGGUGUCCGUCCCCGAGGUCCCCACUCCGCGUGCGCCCCCGCCUCGAGCCUUCCCGCCAGUGGGUCCCACCUCCUGCGCCACCGUCGCGGGCCGCCCGGGCGGAGGAAAAAAGCGGAGCGUGCGCGCUCGGGUUGCAAAGUUUCUGCUCCGCUCGGCGCUGCCGGAAUAAGAGAGGGGGCGGGGCGGAGCGGGAGCAACACGUGAGAGGGGCGGGGCCGCGAUGACGUAGACUCCGGUUUCUUUCCCUCCUACGUCCCAGCUCCGGACGCCAGGGAUCUACUUUUCCUCUUCAAGGGGUGGGCUGGAGCUGCAGCCUGAGUCCUGGAGAGCCGCUUGGCUCCGAAGAGGUCCCAGCUUAGUGGCAGCUGAAUCCUACA
rnacentral:lncRNA from 1 species